UUCAGAGUAAAAGUUGUUAUUGG
rnacentral:siRNA from 1 species